UCCCUGACUACAACAAGGCCCAGGCAUAGGAGGACAGUUUGAUAAUUGUGGAGGAAAUGCAGGGUUUCCACCUGGAUACUGAUUUCCUGAGCAAGAAGAAAGAACACAAAUCAGUCCCUGAGCCACAGAGAAACAUCAGGUGCGAUGGCGUCAAGGACUUUAAGUGUUUUGGAGUUGAAGCUGGCUAAGAGUGACCCAACGCAGCUGGAUGUUGGACGUGUUGAUAAGUUCAUCUGUUCAGUAAAAGCUGAAGCAAUGUGAUCACCUACCUUUAGCAGGUGAGCUGUGUCUGGAUGUCAUCUGAUGCUUUUGUCUGAAGCCACACCUUUACCCGAGCCCAUCCUCUCUGCAUCACAAGUCCUGAGAAUCCUGACAGAAGAAGGUUUUUAGGUGUUUUUAAUGCUUGUCAUAGAUGUAGAAAAUUCUCUAUAUGAUGUUGUGCUCAGCAAUGGCUAUCAUCCAGU